rnacentral:rRNA from 1 species
AGGGAAUAUUGCGCAAUGGACGGAAGUCUGACGCAGCGACGCCGCGUGAGCGAUGAAGGUCUUCGGAUCGUAAAGCUCUGUCCUUGGGGAAGAAGGCGAAAGCUUGACGGUACCCAAGAAGAAAGCCCCGGCUAACUACGUGCCAGCAGCCGCGGUAAUACGUAGGUGACAAGCGUUGUCCGGAAUUAUUGGGCGUAAAGGGAGCGCAGGCGGUUGGAAUAGUCUGAUGUGAAAGCCCACGGCUUAACCGUGGAAGGUCAUUGGAAACUGUCCAACUUGAAUACAGAAGAGGUAAGUGGAAUUCCAAGUGUAGCGGUGAAAUGCGUAGAUAUUUGGAGGAACACCAGUGGCGAAGGCGACUUACUGGUCUGUAAUUGACGCUGAGGCUCGAAAGCGUGGGUAGCAAACA